UCAAAGCAAUUUGGAGGAGGCCUCACUUCCCAAGGACGCAGACUUUUCCCAACUACCGACGGGUGAGGCCACCAAAAGAAUGGCCGCGGCGGCCGCCGUCGCCCUUCCCCUCUCUCCACCGCGCUUCGCCGCCCCCAGAACCCUCCUCCAAUUCUUCUCCUCCUCCUUCCCCUCAAAAAUCCACCUUUUUCCCGAACCAAUCUCUUCGUCUCCUUCCGCACCCUCUCCCCCAAAUCCCCCCCCCCCACCCCGCGCCCACUACGGUGACCUCGCCGCCAACCUCGUCCUCGGCUUCACCCUCCUCUGAUUCCCCCUUACCCUGGCCGCCGUCUCCCGGGCCUUCUUCCUCCGCCACCACUUCACCAACCGGCGGGUCACCGUCAUCUUCGGCCUCACCAGCCAGGACCGCACCAAGUUCCGGGAGAUCGCCGACUACUGCCUUUUUAUGGCCAAGGGGCCCAAGGGAUCGGAGGAGAAGAGGGGAGGCGGGCCGAGGGGAUUCUGAGCUGAAAGUUGGGUGCUUUGGUGAGGAUGUGGGGUUUUUUCUGCCGGGAGUUGAAGGAUCUCAACUGGUGGUGAUGGUGAGUGGUCAUAGAGACCGACGAGGAUGAUGAUCUUGUAAGCAAGAAAGGAGUAUGCUCGGCAAAGGAGUAAAAUGGCCACCUUGAGAAGAUGACCCUGCGACGAAAUCUAAAAUUCUUGUUACAUUCGAUGUAGUUAUAUAUUUUGAAUCGUUCUUGAUAUUUUAAUGCUGAUCAAAUGAUCAUCUGAAUUGACCUCAAUUACUGUGUUACAUAUUAGUGAUACUAUAUGUUAUUCCC